UACAGAGGUCUCAAGCGUUGUUCGGAUUCAUUGGGCGUAAAGGGUUCGUAGGCGGCGGGGCAAGUCAGGUGUGAAAUCCCGGAGCUCAACUCCGGAACUGCACUUGAUACUGCCUCGCUAGAGUACUGGAGAGGAGACUGGAAUUUACGGUGUAGCAGUGAAAUGCGUAGAGAUCGUAAGGAAGACCAGUGGCGAAGGCGAGUCUCUGGACAGUUACUGACGCUGAGGAGCGAAAGUGUGGGGAGCGAACAGG
rnacentral:rRNA from 1 species